AUUGACCGCGCCUUUUGCGCGUUGACUUGAUACUCUUUGGUUCUGAGAGAAAGCGCGCCAUUUGCAAGUGCUUGCA